AAUGGCAAAUGAUGAACACCUUAUUACCGCUUAUUGAUAUACUGAUGCUCUGUGCUGACUCAAAACUCCGCUUAUUAUCUGAUGCCAUU
rfam:Cucumis melo, WGS project CAJI01000000 data, contig: 01647